UUUAUUUGGUUAUUAACUUGUGCAUCUUUAUUAAUCAACAGAAUUUAAACUGCAUUUAAUUGGACGCAUGUUUUGCAGGAUUAUAUCAACAUUAAUACUCGUAUUAGCUCUACUGAUGCAGUCGGCGUCGGCCAGUGCCGACGACAGUAUCGCCUUUUCCGUCUGUUGGAUGAUAAAAGAAAAUACUUCACCUGACAGACCGGAAAUCAAGCUUUUCCUGAACGAUUCCCAGCUGGAGCCCAUAGAAACCAGGGGCAAACUGACGUCCCUAACCGUGUCCCCGUCCGACACGCACACGCUGAGACUGAAAAACGGAGGCGGCUCUCGGCUGUGGAGGUUUUCAGUAAAUUCAGGUUUGAAUACAGUCAUAGUUAGGAGUGAGUAUAAAGCUCAGGAUAAGCCAUCUGCAGAGACUUUAGAAGCUCUCAAACAUUUCAAGCCAACGCAAGUGUUUGCCUGUGAAAACAACACACUGUAUCUAUGCCAAGAAGAUGUGAUCGUCGUACUUGGCUCCACCCAUCGUUUUCCAUUGAAGGUGGUGUCCCGCAGCAGCGCCACCUUGCUGCUGUCCUGGGUGGCGGAUUCUCCCCUCCCCCCUGACCCUGUGCAUGGCGUGUCACUGUAUCGGUCACCUCCGGACGCUCAGGCUGCCAAAGUCACGUACACCACCCGUGCUGACCGAUACAGAUUUACGUCUCUGGAUGCCUGCAGUAACUAUCUGGGCUGCCUGGAGCUGGCAGGCAGCUCCUCUGUUAUUUGUCUCAAGACGCUCACGGAUCCAGAUGUCCCGAAAAACUUCAGUGUGAGGGCGUGGAACAGCAGCAGUAUUACUAUAGCUUGGGACUGCUCUGAGAAGCAGCUCUACUCCUCCUUCCUGGUCACCAUGCUCCAGCUCAAUGCCUCCAGCCACGUGGUGGAGACGGCGUCCCUCAAGCAUGAGCGGAAGCCCUUCAUCUUCACAGUCAAUGACUUGCCCCCUUGCAGCAAGGUGAAGUUCGCUCUGCAGACCGUGUGUGACUCCAGUGGCGAGUCUCGAAUGAGCAGUUCGGUCGUUAUCGACGGCAACUCCGCAAACUCUGAAAUCAGGAACCUGCGCCAGGUGGCCUCCAGCCCAGGAAGCUACUCCCUAAGAUGGACGGUGCCCAAUACCUCCUCCAUUGCUGUGUUCAGGGUCUACCACCAGGGGGCGCUUCAGAAGUCCACCUUCCUGCCGACACACAGGGUGGUGGGCUUGCAGCCCUGUGGCCGGUAUAAGGCCCGAGUGGAUGCUGUGUGUGGGGACAGCGUUGUCAUGAGCACUAGGACCAUACAGACCAGUACAGGCCCUGGGAGCAUCUUCGACCUUCAGUUUCACCAGCAGAACUCCACUGCUUCCUGGAGCUCAGCCUCAGGCCCCGCAAAGGCUUUCGCCUACAGCCUUUCCCACCCAAAUGGCUCACUUGUGAGUAGCGGGAGGGUAAGGCAAACUGAUGUGCUACUCUCGGGCUUGGUUCCUGGUAGCCCAUACCAGAUGGAGGUCUGGGAGGAGUGUGGUGGGGAGCGGGGCAGACCGGCAACGCUGCGAUUCCUCAGGCAACCGGUUCCCGACGAUGACGUCCUCUACCCUGUACCAAAGGGGAGGCACUUGGGGUCGCACUUUAAUCCCGAUUUGCAUGCUGCUAUUAUUGUACCUUGGAUGUUGCCGGAGUCCCUCAGAGAACCAAAGGCAAAAGCCCGAGUCGAGCUGGAGAGCAUCAUCAGAGCCAAAUUACAGGCCAUCUUCAGUGGGUUGCCAUAUCCAGUAGAGGUGAAACUGCUUGAAUUUGAGGACCUUAACAGUACAGGACAAACUAAGAUCCCCUUCCAAGUUUUAGACCUUUCCAAUGACGAUGUCAAAGUAAAGCUGUCCUCCGAGGAGCUGUUGACUUACAUUCAAUCACUCAGCUUAGCCCAAAUCACCAUCAAAGACCAUCUGAUCUACUGGGAUGAUCCUGAUGAGUGUGGCUCCUAUGAACUGAACUGGUGUGAUUCCAGUUCCACCUGCAUCAAUACCCUGCUCUCCUACACCUGCGUGUGUCAGGAGGGUUACUACAACGUCGGCCACUUCCUGAUUCCUCCUGUGCCCUCAGCCUGUUACAAGAAUGGGAUGUUUGUUGAGUGCAAGGAAAGCCUUGUCGCUGGUGGACUGGCAAAGGAAUUCCUGACCGGCUUCUUGGGAGGCAACGUGAGCGCCAUCCUGAAUGACGGACGCUGUGCUGUGAACGAGACUGACGCGUUCUACUUUUUCAAGAUAGCCGGUAAACCUUCGGAGUGUGGGGCUGAAAGGCAGAUGAACAAGACACACAUAGAGUUCAGUAGUUCCCUGACAGUGACACUCAGCCAUGAGAAGACAAUUACCCGGAAUGACCUCCGGUUGCUGUGGAGGUGUACCUACCCCCGCCACUUUCUGCAUGGGGCCCGGGUCAAUAUGGAUGCUGAAUGGUUUAGUUCCCAUUCUGUCGUUAGUUACAACUUCUCACACAUUCUGGAUGUUGGCAUGAUGUUGUACAAUGACACCUCCUUCAUGUACAAUUACACGGAUGGCGUGGUACUGAGCCCAGAAGACUACCUGUUCCUCGAGGUGACACUCCAAGCGCAGGACACCUUGGCCCACGAUAUGCUCCUGGCAGUGAUGUCAUGCUGGGCAACAGGCACAGUGGAUGCAGUCGAGGACAGGAAAGCCUUUUUCCUUAAAGACGGUUGCCCCUCCGAUGAUACGUUCUCCUGGCUCACACUGAAUGGGUCGGGGAAGAGCAGCAGGUUCUCUGUUCAGAUGUUCACCAUGUCUGUUAAUGAUGAACUUCCCAUCUACAUCCACUGCUUGACUAAAAUUUGCACCCCGGAUGAAGACUGUGUGACUGAAUGUCCUCCGACCAAGAACUAUCCAAAGAUGAAAAGACGACAGAGAGGGAGCAGUCAGGAGCGAUUUGCGGUUGUCUCUGCUGGCCCAGUCUUCAUGGAUCGUGGCGAGUGGAUGUCGAAAGGCGAAUUUGCAUAGCUUCUAGGACUUGAUUGAACAAUCCCUUGAAUAAUCAGCACGGCUUCUUGCUUUAUAUGCUGAAUGGGAGAGGGGAAAACAUCAUCAUUGGGGUCAUCAGGUGGGCACCCUCCAUCUUCAGUGUUUCGCUGAUUUAGCCCCAUGACACCUACGGAGGGCUCAGAAGCAACACCUAGCAUCCCAGCCAGUUGCUACUUCGGUCCGCAGCCUCUGAGAGUGACUUACUGCCUGCCGAAGGGCCUGUCCUUUCACCCCCAUCCUCUUCAGGAACCAGGUUGUAGUUUUGGCAACGAACCCUCUGCACCCAACUUCUACUGGGAACACUUUAGUACGCCAUUUGCGUUGUUCUGUGUGGGCAGCUAAUUCAGCGUACUUAAAACUUUUCCGCUCGUAUGCCUCGUCAACAGCAGCUUCCCAUGGUACCGUUAGUUCCAGAAUAUACAAAAGUUUCUGAGAAGUUGACCACAUAAUGAUGUCUGGCCUGAGGGUAGUUGUCACUAUCUCUGUUGGAAAGAUGAGCUUGUGGUCAAGGUCGACCUGGUCAAGGAGGGAGGUGUUUGCUCUUAAGGUGGACCCAUCCAUUCAUCCAUACACCACUUGUCCUAUUCCGGGUUACGGGGGGUGCAGACCCACUGCGGGGCACACUCACCUGGUGUACCCUGCUCACCUAUAAUUUGAUAACUCCAGUUGACUUUAGCACGUUUAUGGACUGUAGGAGGAACCAGAUGCAUCCCACCCAGGGAUACAAAAUUAACAAUAUGAGCAUAGGCAACUUUACCCAAAUUUUUCGUAAAAAGUUUGACUUGUGAUCGAAUUUUCCCCAUAAGAAAUGAUGGAAAACCAAUUAAUUGGUUCCCGGCCCCAAAAAAA